GAUGAACGCUGGCGGCGUGCCUAAUACAUGCAAGUCGAGCGAACGGACGAGAAGCUUUCUUUUCUGAUGUUAGCGGCGGACGGGUGAGUAACACGUGGAUAACCUACCUAUAAGACUGGGAUAACUUCGGGAAACCGGAGCUAAUACCGGAUAAUAUUUUGAACCUCAUGGUUCAAAAGUGAAAGACGGUCCUGCUGUCACUUAUAGAUGGAUCCGCGCUUCAUUAGCUAGUUGGUAAGGUAACGGCUUACCAAGGCAACGAUGCAUAGCCGACCUGAGAGGGGGAUACGGCACCCUGGCACUGAGAAACGGUCCAGACACCGACGGGGGGAAGCAGGAGGGAAUCUUACGGAAGGGGGGAAAGGCUGAAGGAGCAACGCCGCGUGAGUGAUGAAGGUCUUCGGAUCGUAAAACUAUGUUAUUAGGGAAGAACAUAUGUGUAAGUACCUGUGCAGAUCUUGACGGUACCUAAAGAGAAAGCCACGGCUAACUACGUG
rnacentral:rRNA from 1 species